UUUAUUUUUUAAUAUUCCUAUAAUACCCUUUUGAGAUAUCAAAAACAAAUUAAACGAAAAGUCCAUUGUUCCCUUCUCUGUUUUUUUCUUUCUUUCACUUCCCUUCGAGUCAUACUCCUUCAAAAUCUUCGCCUGCUCUUCUCUUCUCCUUCCUCACCCUUCCCCUAAAAACACUAGAUUUAGGGUUAGGGUUUGAGUUUUGAAUUUCCGAUUUAAACGUAAUCGAUGACGGUGUUUAAGUAUUCAAAUGUGUGAGCAUUAGACACUGAAUUGAAGCGGUCAGAUCCCAAACAAAAUAAAAACAGAGAGAGAGAGAGAGAGAGAGAGAGAGAGAGAGGAAACGGUGAAGUAAUGGCGAGCAAGGAAGAGAGCACAGUGAAGGAGACUGCUCUUGCCUAUCUUAUUUUAAGGUUUUUUUGUCAUAGCUUUAAAAAAUGAUCCAUUGUGUUUUCAAUUUGGUUUCCAGUUAGGUAUUUACGCUAAUCUGAUCAUAUACCAAGAUAAUUCCUUGCAAGCAGUAUGGUCAAACAAUGAAAGUGAUCGAAGACUUAUUAGGUGGAUAUUGUUGAUUGAGGAUUUCAAUAUUUGACCCUCGUCCUGGAAUGGAUCGCAGUGAUGAGAAUUCAAUUGUAAAGUGGGUAAAGAUGGGUGCACCACUUCACAGGUCUUCGAAAGGAUAGGCAAUAGGGUUAAAACCUCCAUACCUUAUGCCCUUUUUUGGCAUGUUUGGAUAUGGAGGACCUAUUGCAUCUAUGCAUCUAGGAAGGCAUGCUCUUGUUUCUUCGAAGAUAGAAUUCCAAGAAAUUAUAUACAUUACAUCUUGAAAGAGAAGCCUUACUCGGCAGUUCUGGCUCUGAACAUACCUGGACGAUAGUUAAGUUGCAUACCAGUUUCAUGAUCUGUCAGAGGGCCAUAUUUUUUAAUGCUUUUAUUUGAUUUCUCUUACAUCUUUGCAAUACAACCAUCCAAUGGUUUUCAAUCUCUUAUACUAAUGGACAACUUCAUUUCCAUUUUAGACUGAUGGUGGUAUCAAAAAUCCCUCAGAAGAUGAAAUUAAGGACACACCCUAUGGAGAACUACUCUGUUUCUAUUAUUUUAUACUUUUGGCAUGGUCAAAUGGAGAAAUUAUGUGUCAAUUAUAAGAAUUUACUCAUGCCAGCUGUGAAUUUGACAAAAUGAUAGCUGUUGAAUUUUUUUUUUUUUACAAGUGGGAUUCCUUCUAGUAAUUUUCACAUUGUACCUGACCAGAAGAAUAUACGUGCUUGCUUUUAUGUGAUUAUGAUCAAUUAUUUGAACAUGCUACCUGAUAUAAUUUUUUUUUUGGUGGUAGAUGGGUGGAUAAAAUCCUUGAGGCAUUAAGAGGAUAUGACCACUAGAGGACUGGCUGUUAAUUGUUUAGGUGAAAAAAGCAGUUGCUUGUUUUUAUUCCUUAAAUUUAAAAUGUGCUCUCCUCGGUUUCCUCCAGAUGCAGGUAUCUGAGAUGAUGUGAGAGGUGUAGAAUAAGGCAGCAACACAGACAUGGAAAAGUUUGAAGCUUCUAUUUAACGUGAUUGCAAGCCAGUAGCAAUACAAUAUGUUGGAAUGUUUAACAUCCUGAACAGCUCAUAUCUAGUAGCUAGAUCAUUCUUUUGAAGUUAGUGAAGAGCAAUAAUUUUAUGGAAAGCCAGCUUUCCUGCUUGUAUAUAUAUGUUUAUAAUUUUCCAAAGAUGAAGUUUUGAUAAUGACCCUACAUCUUUUUUACUGUGCCUUAACGAUGAGUUGUUACCACUUUUAGUAAAAUAAUGAGCACUAGUGUAGUUAUGAUUCAUGUCCAAGUAGUAUUUGUUCCUUUUCAAUGAUGUUAUUGUAUAAUACUUCUGUACAUUAUAAGCAAAUAAUGGGAGUUCACUUUAAUAUGUUUUCUAUAUUAUUCUUAUA